CUUCCCACGGCGGGCAUCUGGCCCUGGCUGCCUCCUGCGUGCCCCUCGCCUUCCCAUGGUGGGCACCCGGCUGGGGCACGGGGACAUCUGCCAUCUGGCCAGCCCCUUCUCCCCUCGGGGCUUAGGCUGACUCCCCACGAGGCCUUCCUGGCCUCCUGUCUGAAGUGGGUCCCUUUCCUUACUGGUCCCUCUCCAAAGCCCUGGCUGUAAGACUCGGGGACCCCAGCAUCUGCACAUCUGGCAGAGUGGACCUCCUAUGAGAACUGGCUGUGAGCUGUGGAGCCCAGGGCCGGAGGAGCAGUAAGGGUGGCAUGGGGACCAGGACAGGCUGCUGCGGGCCAGGGGCAAACACGUCAGGCCUGGCCCCCAGUCCGCUGCUGCCCCUCCCUUUCACCUUCCAUCCAGCACUAAGGGAGUCUGGCCACGGCCUAAUAUAGGAGGGCUUGUGGAAGGAGACACCCACCCCCUCUUUCUGCACCUCUCCCCUCUUCCAUGCCACCCCCAGGCCAGGAGCCACCACAGCCCUGUCUGUGACUCUCAGCUCCCGAGGCUGGGCUCUUCCCCAGGGAAGCUGCAUGACCAUGGCCACAUACAGGAGGUAGGAGACAGAGGCCUCCACGGUGGACGAUCGUGGCGUGAAGUCCACGUUGACCACGUUGUCGGUGCUGGGGGAGCGGAUGAAGGCCAGGGACCCGCGGCGCUCUCCCUGUGGUCAGGAAGCAGCCCGCUGCAGAGGGAGGGGUGGAAAUGCCAAAACCAGGAGAUCAGAUUUUGAGCCCCUGUCCGUCUGAGGCCACAGCCAGGCUGCUGCCUGAACUGGGCAGAGGUCAUGCUUGUGGGAGGACACAGUGGUCUGAGUGUGAAGGGGUAAAGCUGCCUGGGACUUGGGAUGUGUCUGGGGAAAGUGUUGAUACUGCAGAAUCAUUGAAGUGGUCUCUGUCCCUGCAGGAGACCCUAAAACUCCAUUGGCCUCAUGUCCAGAACUGAAUCAGGUAGAGAACGGAGCAGAGCCCGAUGGGGCACAGAAGCCACACAGCUGAGUGCCAGAGGAUGGAAGUGGGGCCGCCUAUGUGUCCUCAGACCCCACCCGCCUGAUGGCAGGGCCUGGAGAGCAUGAGGU
rnacentral:lncRNA from 1 species